GGCUAAGUAGCUCAGUGGUAGAGUAGGAGAAUCAUAAUCUCUCGGUCGCGGGUUCGAAUCCCUCCUUAGCCA
rnacentral:tRNA from 9 species